GAUGAACGCUGGCGGCGUGCCUAAUACAUGCAAGUCGAGCGAACAGACGAGGAGCUUGCUCCUCUGACGUUAGCGGCGGACGGGUGAGUAACACGUGGAUAACCUACCUAUAAGACUGGGAUAACUUCGGGAAACCGGAGCUAAUACCGGAUAAUAUAUUGAACCGCAUGGUUCAAUAGUGAAAGACGGUUUUGCUGUCACUUAUAGAUGGAUCCGCGCCGCAUUAGCUAGUUGGUAAGGUAACGGCUUACCAAGGCAACGAUGCGUAGCCGACCUGAGAGGGUGAUCGGCCUCACUGGAACUGAGACACGGUCCAGACUCCUACGAGAGGCAGCAGUAGGGAAUCUUCCGCAAUGGGCGAAAGCUUGACGGAGCAACGCCGCGUGAGUGAUGAAGGUCUUCGGAUCGUAAAACUCUGUUAUUAGGGAAGAACAAAUGUGUAAGUAACUAUGCACGUCUUGACGGUACCUAAUCAGAAAGCCACGGCUAACUACGUG
rnacentral:rRNA from 1 species